GCAGGUGUGCCUUUUGUCUCUCACAGCUUCAUGUUCAUCCCUCCCAAAGCUGUGCAUGUGGUGGAAGAGCAUGGCCAUCCCUGAUAGAGGAGGACUGUUUCUCCCCUCAAGGGUAUGGGAGUAGUUUCAUUCCCCUACUAGAACCGCCAAACAUGCCCUCAAACAAAAUGGCAAUUGAGACCUUAAUUACAUCCAUAAAAACAUUCAUUCUUGCUCUGU
rnacentral:sRNA from 1 species